rnacentral:rRNA from 1 species
UGGGGAAUAUUGCACAAUGGGCGCAAGCCUGAUGCAGCCAUGCCGCGUGUAUGAAGAAGGCCUUCGGGUUGUAAAGUACUUUCAGCGGGGAGGAAGGUGUUGUGGUUAAUAACCUCAGCAAUUGACGUUACCCGCAGAAGAAGCACCGGCUAACUCCGUGCCAGCAGCCGCGGUAAUACGGAGGGUGCAAGCGUUAAUCGGAAUUACUGGGCGUAAAGUGCACGCAGGCGGGCUGUCAAGUCGGAUGUGAAAUCCCCGGGCUCAACCUGGGAACUGCAUCCGAAACUGGCAGGCUUGAGUCUUGUAGAGGGGGGUAGAAUUCCAGGUGUAGCGGUGAAAUGCGUAGAGAUCUGGAGGAAUACCGGUGGCGAAGGCGGCCCCCUGGACAAAGACUGACGCUCAGGUGCGAAAGCGUGGGGAGCAAACA